rnacentral:rRNA from 1 species
UACGAAGGGUGCAAACGUUGCUCGGAAUCAUUGGGCGUAAAGCGCACGUAGGCGGCUUCGCAAGUCGAUGUGAAAUCCCUCGGCUCAACCGAGGACGUGCAUCCGAAACUGUGAGGCUUGAGUACAGAAGAGGAUCGCGGAAUUCCCGGUGUAGAGGUGAAAUUCGUAGAUAUCGGGAGGAACACCAGUGGCGAAGGCGGCGAUCUGGGAAGAUACUGACGCUGAGGUGCGAAAGCGUGGGGAGCAAACAGG